ACGAGAUCUGAUGGGUUUUUCCGGGGUUUCCGCUUUUGCUUCCUCCUCAUUUUUCUCUUGCCGCCACCGUGUAAGAAGUGCCUUUCGCCUCCCGCCAUGAUUCCGAGGCCUGCCCAGCCAUGUGGAACUGUAAGUCCAAUUAAACAUCUUUUUGUUCCCAGUUUUCGGUAUGUCUUCAUCAGCAGCGUGAAAACGGACUAAUGCACCCUCUCCCUACCAGCGGGUGUAGUCUGAUGAGGUCUAUGCGGCACUGUAGGGUGGCAGUCAUGGAGGAAUGCUGUUUAAAUGUCCCUUCAAGAGGGAGUCACCAGAAGGAGAGUCAUUCACCACAGCUUCUGACCUCAGGGGCCUUCAGAAGCCACCUGGUCAGUGUCCAAGCAUGGCCAAGGUGCAGGGUGGCUGCUGGGACUCCAUGAAAGGCUCCUCUAUGGGCAACCUGUGUGGCAGCACUUCCUGCUUGGCUGCCCGAGGAUUCCCAGUGCUUCCUGCAGUCAGGCACUUCCUGCCCGGUUCUCCCACCUCAUCCUCCUUUCCCAGGGACCAGACUUGCAUCGCGUCCUGAAGCUCAGCCUGCCUACUCCUGCUCCAUCUUUUCUUUAUCCUUCACAACUGCAGUCCUCAAUUAAUCUCUGGUGCGCUUAACUCUGUCUGCUUCCUGAAGAUGCUCAUAGAUUCUGAGGAUUCCCCACGUGCUGUGACGUGAGAGUCAGGGGCAAGGGAGGAAAACAGCCAGCUCCACUACCUGUCUACCCUCCCUCCGAACUAUUGAGGAAGUUCCCUGUUAGAGAUUCAUUCCUUUGGACCAUGAAGCUUUUUGAUUCUACUAACCUUCAGUGAGUCACGCUUAAGCCUUUAAAAAAAUUCUCUGAGCUUUUUGUUUGUGAAAUAUAACAUAUUUACCAAUGAACAUCAGAUAUAUAAAUGGGUUGUAUGAGUAAUUAUAAAGCAAACUAUAUACCAGCAAGUGAAAAUAUAACACACUGCCCCAGAAGCACCCACAAUCCACGAAUAAUCACCCCCAUCCCCGUGAGGUGCCUAAGUAAGGAGAGGAGGGGGAGAGAAGCUGCCAGGGGAAGGACCAAGGAUGUGCUCUACAGCUCAGCCCCCUGGCUCUGCCCGGCCUCUCCUUGUUCGCACAGAUCAGCCUGAGGGCCAUGCUGCACACCACAGGCCCAUGACCCUCCAUCAGAGUCACCAGGCGCUGGCUGAACAAGCACCUUCAGUGAGCUCUGGAUUACAACACAGCUAUGCAAAGAAGCCAGCGGGUCCUCUCCCUGCCCAUGUGGAGAGAUUGCCAGGCAGAUUCCAAAGUGGAAAAGUCAGAGGCAAUACAGGAGGGCCUGUGUGCCCAGCUCCCACUGUGAAAACCAACCCAGCUGAUGGGGAUUCUUCUCUAUUGCUUUCUAGGUUGUCGCUGCCCUCAGCCUCCAGAUGCAGCCCGCUGCCACCUUCAGGACCCCUGGCUCUCCCUUUGACUCAGUAGCAAAAGGGUUUAUGUGCUCGGAGGGAGUCCUUCAGGAAUCUGUGCAUAGAAUGCCAUAGUGCAGAGGAAAGUAAGACUAUGCAGUUGUAUUUGACUUAAAACCUCCAGAAGGAUAGACAGGGAAGUGACAAAACCUACAGGGAGCAGGGGACAAAGAGGGAUGGGGCUGCAAGCCAGGGGAUGCCUGCAGCCACCAGGAGAUGGGGGGACGCAGGGCGGAUCCUUUCCCAGAGCCUCUGGAAGGAGUAUGGCCCUGCCUACACCUUGAUUUGGAUUUCUGGCCUCUGGAACUGUGAGAGAACAACUGUCUGCUGUGGAAAGUGACCUAAGUUUGUGGCAAUUUGUUACAGCAGCCCCAGAAAAUGGAACAUCUGCUAAGUGAGACUCCUCAGCCAGGCCAGAGAAUGUGCAUUCUGAUGGACUGCUUCUCAUUUGCACCGAUCACUGUGAGUGCCUGAUGGGUGGGCAUCUGGUGCCCAGAGAAGGAGUUGUUCUAUUAUCCUUACACUCCAUAAAGAACAGGUAGAAAUGAAUGCUUACCAAGAUGAAAUCCACCCAUUGUUUCUGAAUGGCUCAGUUUUGAUUUCAUCUUCCAAGGUCUUCUUUCUGAAACCAGCCCAACUUUUCUCCCAGAGAGUAUCAUGGAACUGAACUUUCAAGAUCAUGGCAUCUGGACAUGGAGACAACAGAACCCUCAUCUGGCCACCUGCUGCUUGUUGACCAAUUCCCAUAUAAACCACUAACUUCAGUCAGUUGGAGAGACGGAUUUGAGAUUUGCCUUCUGUCUCUCAGCUGAUGUCACCAGCAAUAAAGCCUUCUUCCCUGGC
rnacentral:sRNA from 1 species